AUUUAUUGCUAACAUGAAUUCAAAGCAAGUAUGCAUUUUUGUGACAGGAACAAAUCAGAAAAUCGAGACAUAAUUGCCAUCAUCAAAUCUUAAUCCUUAGAGAAAAACAUUUCCACGAGGUUGGCCUGAAGACACUAAGAUUCUACCAGUUUUUGAGGUGUUCCAUAUUUAAGUAGUGUAGGCACUGUGGUUACUUCCAAGUUUUUUCUGAAGUCAUUAUUUGGAUCUUUCCAAUAAGGCUUUUCUUCUACUUGGCAGUAGGCGAACACACAUCCUUCACUAACAUGCUUCAGCCCCUGGUUCAGCAUGCAUACAAUAGGGGCACCAGCUUUUCCUCCAGCAUCCUUAGAACUGAUAAAGUAGGUGAAAAUGGUCUUGUCAUUGUGGCGUUCCACAGCCCAGGUGAACUCCUCAAAGCUUCACACACACCUCCU
rnacentral:lncRNA from 1 species